rnacentral:rRNA from 1 species
UACGGAGGUGGCAAGCGUUGCUCGGAAUCACUGGGCGUAAAGGGCGCGUAGGCGGGGAGGUAAGUCGGGUGUGAAAUCCCUCGGCCCAACCGAGGAACUGCGCCCGAGACUGCUUCUCUUGAGUCCCGGAGAGGAAGAUGGAAUUCCCGGUGUAGCGGUGAAAUGCGCAGAUAUCAGGAAGAACACCCGUGGCGAAAGCGGCUCUCUGGAACGGUACUGACGCUGAGACGCGAAAGCGUGGGGAGCGAACAGG